GCAUUAAACGGCCAAUCGGCUUAUUUUUUCAUGCUCUUUCAGAUGAAGCAAUAAGAUAGAUGAAGCAAUUUUUGUUGCCAAUACCCUUUAACUGUUGAGUAACAUACACAAACUAAUCGAGGAACAUGCAUUACUGUAGCAAAGAGUCAAUCAUAUAUCGAAGACCACCAAAUAGUAGAGAAUGUAAGUUCUUUGUUUUGAAGGUCAUGAGUGAAGUAUAUAAUUCAAUUCCAAUCCUGUGCACAGUUAAUGAUAUACCAUGAACACUGUUCGGUUUAAUUAACUCAGCAUAUCCCCACAAAAACAAUUUGUGUUGUGGGAGAAUAUCUGUUUGAGUAGAAGGUAUCACAAGUUUAGUUUUGUAUAUUGUGUGCCAUUGAUCUGAUCCAUCCGACCAUCCAUAUAAUAUAUGAUUAUUGUAGCUGUUAAGUUAUUUUCCAUACUAAUGAAUUUAGGUAAGAUUGUCUUGCAAGUGGGUUGUUCUGACAAAGUUAUCCAGCCAAUAUCCAGUACAUCAGUACAUGUAUAUUCAUUCUUGUAUUAAUCUGUAAACAAAAUUAGAAAGCAAAAUGACAAUGUGAUGAGGAGGGAGGGUGGGGAUUCUUUUAUUAGCAUUUGAAAAUGGUUGUAACAAUUUUGUUUAAUUAACUCUAUUAUGUAAAACCAAAAUGUAUAUAAAGUAUAAUUUUAACUGAUGACAUCUUUACCUUUGCUCUAACACUACAUUUGAUGACAACUUAGUUGGACUGUCGUUUUGAACAGAGUUGCAGAAAUACAGGACCAGGAUUUAAUUCAAUAUCUCCUGAGAACAUUAGUUUCUUGUGAUAUUGUUAAUUGGCAAUAUAAUGCCUGCAGCCAGAGUUUUGACUGUUUAAAAUAUUACAAAAUGAUUGUUUUUAUACUGUAUAAAUGUAUAUAAUAAAAUAUGUGGUAUUUGACUACCUACCAGAUGAGGAUAAGUUUCCAUGUUGAUAGAUAACUUCGGAAUAAUAUCACAAGUAGAAUGGUGAAAACAAGACAGCCAGUAAUCUGCUUCGCAGAUACAAAAAUAAAGAUAUACACCGGCACUGUAUUGAUAUAUGUUUAUACCUGGAAGUUUUUUUCAUUAUAAAAGUGUAUUUUCCCAAUUUAGAUUGGGUGGGUGGGUCAUGAAAUAAAUUUGGUAAGAUUGGAU